GAAGAAGUGGACAUGGUGGAAUCGGAGGGGCGGGAGGCUGAAGGAGAGGAGGAGCAGGAGGCUGAAGGAGAGAAGGAGCAGGAGGAGGAAGGAGAUAAGAGAGUGGAGGGGUCGGAGAAGACGGCGGUGGAGAAGGAGAUGGAGAAGGGAACAGAGAGGGAGGAGAUAGAGAAGACGGAGGUGGAGAAGAAAGAGACAGAAAGGAAGGAGACUGGGAAGACGGCGGUGGAGAAGAAAGAGAUAGAAAGGAAGGAGAGAGGGAAGAAGGUGGUGGAGGAGAAAGAGACAGAAAGGAAGGAGAGAGGGAAGAAGGUGGUGGAGGAGAAAGAGACAGAAAGGAAGGAGAGAGGGAAGAAGGUGGUGGAGGAGAAAGAGACAGAAAGGAAGGAGAGAGGGAAGAAGGUGGUGGAGGAGAAAGAGACAGAAAGGAAGGAGAGAGGGAAGAAGGUGGUGGAGGAGAAAGAGACAGAAAGGAAGGAGAGAGGGAAGAAGGUGGUGGAGGAGAAAGAGACAGAAAGGAAGGAGACAGGGAAGAAGGUGGUGGAGGAGAAAGAGACAGAAAGGAAGGAGACAGGGAAGAAGGUGGUGGAGGAGAAAGAGACAGAAAGGAAGGAGACAGGGAAGAAGGUGGUGGAGGAGAAAGAGACAGAAAGGAAGGAGACAGGGAAGAAGGUGGUGGAGGAGAAAGAGACAGAAAGGAAGGAGACAGGGAAGAAGGUGGUGGAGAAGAAAGAGACAGAAAGGAAGGAGACAG
rnacentral:lncRNA from 1 species